rnacentral:rRNA from 1 species
CAGAACGAACGCUGGCGGCGCGUUUAAGCAUGCAAGUCGAGCGGCAAGGGCCUUCGGGCCCCUAGAGCGGCGGACGGGUGAGUAACACGUGGACAAUCUCGCCCCCCGGCCCGGGAUAGCCCAGGGAAACCUGGAUUAAUACCGGAUGAGACGGGACCCGCGAUGGCGGGACCCGGGAAAGGCGCUGCGGCGCCGCCGGGGGAUGAGUCUGCGUCCCAUUAGCUAGACGGCGGGGUAACGGCCCACCGUGGCGACGAUGGGUAGCCGGCCUGAGAGGGUGGACGGCCACAUUGGAACUGAGACACGGUCCAGACUCCUACGGGAGGCAGCAGCUAAGAAUCUUCCGCAAUGGGCGAAAGCCUGACGGAGCCGACGCCGCGUGAACGAAGAAGGCCGUGAGGUUGUAAAGUUCUUUUCGGGAGGGGAACAACCGUGGCAGGGAAUGGCCGCGGGAUGACGUGAAUCCCGGAAUAACGCCCCGGCUAACUACGUGCCAGCCGCCGC